UGCCAAACACAUCCGCUCUUA
rnacentral:piRNA from 1 species